rnacentral:rRNA from 1 species
ACGAAUCCAGACCCUACGGGGUGCAGCAGGCGCGAAAACUUGGCAAUGCGAGAAAUCGUGACCAGGGAACUCCAAGUGGCUGGGGUAAGACCCAGUCUUUUCUUGACUCUUCAACGGUCUUGGAAUAAGGGGUGGGUAAGGACGGUGCCAGCCGCCGCGGUAAUACCGGCGCCUCAAGUGGUAGUCGAUUUUAUUGGGCCUAAAACGUCCGUAGCCUGUUUGGUACAUUCGUGGGUAAAUCAACCAGCUCAACUGAUUGAAUUCUGCGAGCACGGCCAGACUUGGGACCGGGAGAGGUGUGGGGUACGCUCAGGGUAGGGGUAAAAUCCUGUCAUCCUGAGCGGACCACCUGUUGCGAAGGCGCCACACUAGAACGGAUCCGACGGUCAGGGACGAAGCCUAGGGGCACGAACCGGAUUAGAUACCCGGGUAGUCCUAGGUGUAAACGCUGUGGACUUGGUGUUGGGGACUCUCCGAGAUUCCUCAGUGCCGAAGCGAAGGUGAUAAGUCCACUGCCUGGGGAGUACGGUCGCAAGGCUGAAACUUAAAGGAAUUGGCGGGGGAGCACCGCAACCUGAGGAUUGUGCGGUUUAAUUGGAUUCAACGCCGGG